rnacentral:rRNA from 1 species
AACGAACGCUGGCGGCAGGCCUAACACAUGCAAGUCGAACGCCCUAGCAAUAGGGAGUGGCAGACGGGUGAGUAACACGUGGGAACCUUCCCUAUAGUACGGAAUAUACCAGGGAAACUUGGAGCAAUACCGUAUACGCCCGAGAGGGGAAAGAUUUAUCGCUAUAGGAUGGGCCCGCGUAGGAUUAGCUAGUUGGUGAGGUAAUGGCUCACCAAGGCGACGAUCCUUAGCUGGUUUGAGAGAACGACCAGCCACACUGGGACUGAGACACGGCCCAGACUCCUACGGGAGGCAGCAGUGGGGAAUAUUGGACAAUGGGCGGCAAGCCUGAUCCAGCCAUGCCGCGUGAGUGAUGAAGGCCUUAGGGUUGUAAAGCUCUUUUGGCGGGGACGAUAAUGACGGUACCCGCAGAAUAAGUCCCGGCUAACUUCGUGCCAGCCGCCGCAGUAA